rnacentral:misc_RNA from 1 species
AACCUUAUGGACCUGCGGGCGUAUACCUGCGGAAGGAUCAUUACAGAGUUACUACUCCAAACCCAUUGUGAACCUUACCUAUGUUCUGUUGCCUCGGCGGCGCGGUCAGCGCCCCUCUGAAAAGAGGACGAUGCCCUCCCGCCGGCAGCACCAAACUCUUGAAUUUUACAGCGGAUUACAGUUCUGAUUUAAAAACAAAAAAAACAAGUUAAAACUUUCAACAAUGGAUCUCAGAUCGGA